UCCGCACUCUGAGGCAGCCGGGAAAUUACUGUUCCGGCAUCUAGCCGAACUACUAGUGUUGGGUUAGGGUGUCUCUGACGCGGAGAUGCCUAGCUCUCUGAACCCGUAGCUUCACCACAGCUGGAUGCUUGACCGCUAAGAAACCAAGACCUGAGGAGGGACUGAGCCUUGCCUUGUGUCAUACAUUAGUGGAUGACAAAAGCUGGCACCAGAACCAGUUCUCCAGACACCAAAGCUCUCCUCUUCCCAAUACGCUCUGUGUCUACCCUGUGCUUGAGCUUAGAGGUUCAGACCUGGCAGUGUGGCUCAGUGGCUCAAGACAUCGUGUUUCCUUUUUAACUGCCUUCCCUUGAUUCAGUGACACCCCUGGCCACAGAUGCGGUGAACAGCUGCAAACCCUUCCAGCCGUGGAGAAUGUACUUUGACCAGACAGACCCAACUGUGAUCCUCUCUCCACCUUUGUCUCCUUGGACUUCAAAUCUCAGCCCCCCCUGUUUCUUCGAGUAAGUCGGUAUGUAAUGAAUUAC
rnacentral:sRNA from 1 species